CAGGACAAUCUUUUGUGUCUGGUUGCAGUC
rnacentral:piRNA from 1 species